GAUGAACGCUAGCGGGGGGCCUAACACAUGCAAGCCGAGCGGUAGAGUUUCUUCGGAAACUUGAGAGCGGCGCACGGGUGCGUAACACGUGUGCAACCUACCUUUAUCUGGGGGAUAGCCUUUCGAAAGGAAGAUUAAUACCCCAUAAUAUAAUGAUUGGCAUCAAUUAUUAUUGAAAACUCCGGUGGAUAGAGAUGGGCACGCGCAAGAUUAGAUAGUUGGUGAGGUAACGGCUCACCAAGUCAAUGAUCUUUAGGGGUCCUGAGAGGGAGAUCCCCCACACUGGUACUGAGACACGGACCAGACUCCUACGGGAGGCAGCAGUGAGGAAUAUUGGACAAUGGGUGAGAGCCUGAUCCAGCCAUCCCGCGUGAAGGAUGACGGUCCUAUGGAUUGUAAACUUCUUUUGUACAGGGAUAAACCUACCCUCGUGAGGGUAGCUGAAGGUACUGUACGAAUAAGCACCGGCUAACUCCGUG
rnacentral:rRNA from 1 species